GCUCUGUCUGCGGCGGGCGACAAGCUGGCUCAGCGGAUUCACGGGCGCGGAGCUGUUCGUUGCUGCUUCUUUUUUGGAUGGACAAAAAGAAAAAAAUUCGUAGGGACUAUAGCGGCAUAUGUUUAGCCAACUAGAUCUAGAUUGAUUAGCAAAUUUGUCGGGAUAUGGUCAAAUAUUUAUUUCGAUUUGCUGUCUUUGCACACUCGCUCAUGCCGAGAUUCACGCUUCUCUGACUGCCAAGAGAACUUGGCGCUGCAGGCGAUUUAUGUCCGAAUUUUCAUCUUCGUCUCUCUAAGCGUCGAAGAUGUCGCUUAACAAAGGCAUCGCAACCUUGGGGAUUAGUCGAUACCAAGAAUACAUUUAAACCGGAGCCUGCAAAAUCCCCCAAAACCGUGCCAAAUUUCUACGCAGCAUCGAGUUCAGAGGGGGGCAGUGAACUAAGCUAGGCAUGUGCGUGUCAACGCACGAAUCAAAAUGGAACCCGUCCACGACCCGGCCACUGCGACUGCGUGGUGACACGACGGAGAAUCUUUCUUUACCUUCCGGAUGGUCCUAAACGGGUGAUGUGAUGUAAGUAACUGCAAUAUUUUCUGCAAGAAAAAUAUUAGAGCG
rnacentral:lncRNA from 7 species